rnacentral:tRNA from 1 species
GGCCGGGCUGGGCCGCACGUUCCAGACCUCGAGCCUCUUCGACGGGCUCACCGCGCUCGAGAACGUGCGACUGGCCGCGCAGGCGGCCCUCGGCGG